UAAGGAAUAUUGGUCAAUGGACGGAAGUCUGAACCAGCCAUCCCGCGUGCAGGAUGAAGGUCCUAUGGAUUGUAAACUGCUUUUAGCAGAGACGAAACGCCGACAUUUAUGUUGGUCUGACGGUAUCUGCGGAAUAAGCACCGGCUAACUCCGUGCCAGCAGCCGCGGUAAUACGGAGGGUGCAAGCGUUAUCCGGAAUCACUGGGUUUAAAGGGUGCGUAGGCGGAUGAUUAAGUCAGUGGUGAAAGCUGGUCGCUUAACGAUCAAACUGCCAUUGAUACUGAUUGUCUUGAAUUGGGUUGAGGUUAGCGGAAUGUGACAUGUAGCGGUGAAAUGCAUAGAUAUGUCAUGGAACACCAAUUGCGAAGGCAGCUAACUGGGCCUUGAUUGACGCUGAGGCACGAAAGCGUGGGUAGCGAACAGGAUUAGAUACCCUGGUAGUCCACGCCCUAAACGAUGCUAACUCGAUGUUUGGACAGUAAGUUUGAGCAUCCAAGGGAAACCGAUAAGUUAGCCACCUGGGGAGUACGACCGCAAGGUUG
rnacentral:rRNA from 1 species